ACUGGGACUGAGACACGGCCCAGACUCCUACGGGAGGCAGCAGUAGGGAAUCUUCCGCAAUGGACGAAAGUCUGACAGAGCAACGCCGCGUGAGUGAUGAAGGUUUUCGGAUCGUAAAGCUCUGUUGUUAGGGAAGAACAAGUGCGAGAGUAACUGCUCGCACCUUGACGGUACCUAACCAGAAAGCCACGGCUAACUACGUGCCAGCAGCCGCGGUAAUACGUAGGUGGCAAGCGUUGUCCGGAAUUAUUGGGCGUAAAGGGCUCGCAGGCGGUUUCUUAAGUCUGAUGUGAAAGCCCCCGGCUCAACCGGGGAGGGUCAUUGGAAACUGGGAAACUUG
rnacentral:rRNA from 1 species